GCAGAACGCGAAGAACCUUACCCACACUUGACAUACCUCUUGGGCGUUUCUAGAGAUGAUUGCCUUCGGUUCGGCCGGGGAGGAGUACAGGUGCUGCAUGGCUGUCGUCAGCUCGUGUCGUGAGAUGUUGGGUUAAGUCCCGCAACGAGCGCAACCCUUACUCGUAUGUUGCCAGCAUUUAGUUGGGCGACUCAUGCGAGACUGCCGGUGACAAGCCGGAGGAAGGCGGGGACGACGUCAAGUCAUCAUGGCCCUUACGUGUGGGGCUAGAAACGUGCUACAAUGGCGGUGACAAUGGGCAGCGAGAUCGUGAGGUCAAGCUAAUCCCAAAAAGCCGUCUCAGUUCAGAUUGUAGUCUGCAACUCGACUACAUGAAGUUGGAAUCGCUAGUAAUCGCAAAUCAGCAUGUUGCGGUGAAUACGUUCCCGGGUCUUGUACACACCGAGUCGUGGGGGAGGGCAAGGGGCACACAGGGGGGGAUA
rnacentral:rRNA from 1 species